CGGGGUGUGGCGCAGCCUGGUAGCGCGCUUCGUUCGGGACGAAGAGGUCGUGGGUCCGAAUCCCGCCACCCCGACCA
rnacentral:tRNA from 1 species